GAUGCAGUGACUGAGACUGGGAGAUGGGCCUUCCCAUUGCCUUGGGGUGUGUUCUAGAAAAAGGUCCUGAGCCUACUGGUCGACAUCUGCCAUUGCCUGAAGGAAACGCAGCCUGCCUCUUCAGCUGUCCAUAUAGAGAGCAUUGACACCCUGGAGGACUUUGAGUUACAGGAGCAACACCUCUCUGAUGCACAGGCCUUUGAUACCCUGGUGCUACAAAUUUCAAGAAUUGGUGGGUAGAACACCAAGGACUGUGUCCACAAAGUGUUGGACAGGCUCUUCAACAACAGCCUCAUGGCCAAAUUUAAUUUGAAGGGCAAGGGGAAAAGGGGGAAACGCCCUUUAGAGGGAACAAAGGUUUAUAGAGCAAUACGGUAAGCCCAAGUUUCAUGUUGACCAGUCUAUAAAUAAUAAC